rnacentral:rRNA from 1 species
AUUGAACGCUGGCGGCAGGCCUAACACAUGCAAGUCGAGCGAGCGGCGGAAGGGUGAGUAAGGUAUGGGGCUCGUCCCGAUAGAGGGGGAUAGCUACUGGGAACGGUGACUAAGACCGCACACUAUCGGCUGAGCCCAUAUGGGAUUAGCGAGUAGGUGGGGUAAAGGCGCACCAGGACGACGAUCUCUAGCUGGUCUGAGAGGAUGAUCAGCCACACUGGUACUGAGACACGGCCCAGACUCCUACGGGAGGCAGCAGGGGGGAAUAUUGCACAAUGGGCGCAAGCCUGAUGCAGCCAUGCCGCGUGUAUGAAGAAGGCCUUAGGGUUGUAAAGUACUUUCAGCGGGGAGGCGUUACCCGCAGAAGAAGCACCGGCUAACUCCGUGCCAGCAGCCGCGGUAAUUC